GGAAAAGAAACCAACAGGGAUUACCUCAGUAACGGCGAGUGAAGCGGUAACAGCUCAAAUUUGAAAGCUAGCUCUUUUAGGGUUCGCAUUGUAAUUUGUAGAAGAUGCUUCGGGUGUGGCCCCGGUCUAAGUUCCUUGGAACAGGACGUCAUAGAGGGUGAGAAUCCCGUAUGUGACUGGGUGCUUUCGCUCAUGUGAAGCUCUUUCGACGAGUCGAGUUGUUUGGGAAUGCAGCUCAAAAUGGGUGGUAAAUUUCAUCUAAAGCUAAAUAUUGGCCAGAGACCGAUAGCGCACAAGUAGAGUGAUCGAAAGAUGAAAAGCACUUUGGAAAGAGAGUUAAACAGUACGUGAAAUUGUUGAAAGGGAAGCGCUUGCAACCAGACUUGCGCGCUGAUGAUCAUCCGGGCUUCUGUCCGGUGCACUCGUCUGCGCUCAGGCCAGCAUCGGUUUCGGUGGUGGGAUAAAGGCCUUGGGAAUGUAGCUCCUCUCGGGGAGUGUUAUAGCCCUCGGUGCAAUGCCGCCUAUCGGGACCGAGGACCGCGCUUCGGCUAGGAUGCUGGCGUAAUGGUUGUAAGCGACCCGUCUUGAAACACGGACCAAGGAGUCUAACAUCUAUGCGAGUGUUUGGGUGUCAAACCCAUACGCGUAAUGAAAGUGAACGGAGGUGAGAACCCUUAAGGGUGCAUCAUCGACCGGUCCUGAUGUCUUCGGAUGGAUCUGAGUAAGAGCAUAGCUGUUGGGACCCGAAAGAUGGUGAACUAUGCGUGAAUAGGGUGAAGCCAGAGGAAACUCUGGUGGAGGCUCGCAGCGGUUCUGACGUGCAAAUCGAUCGUCAAAUUUGCGUAUAGGGGCGAAAGACUAAUC
rnacentral:rRNA from 1 species